AUGCGGUGAUGGAACACAUCAUUCUGAAAGAACUAGAUACAUUAUAAAUGUUGUAUA
rnacentral:snoRNA from 1 species